CAAACAUGCACACAAGGGGAACCCUCUGUUCCCAUCUUUCCAGAAACCCCCAAGGAGCAGCUUGGACGAAAGUAAAACCAGCCUCACGAAGCAGGGUGGUCCGCCUCACACGUACACAAUGGGGAGUGUCUGAGCCAUUUGGCGUGGCUGGCACCAGCCAGGGAGGAUGCCACUUCAACCUGAUGGGCAGAGCAGGCACAGUGACCCACUGUUGAAGGCUGUCAAGUUCUUAUAUUGCUACUUCUACUUGGUUUUCUGUAUGACUGAGAUUUUUCCUGUUCACUUUGGGGCUGAUGAUUUUCAUGAGAAGACCAAAGUCAAUGGUGACAACCUUUCCAAUCCUGCCCGUUUUGAGAAACAGUGGGAGCAAGAAUUUCCAUGGAGGAUGUUGUGAUCUCCCUUCCUUCUUCUAAUCCUGAACUAAGAAAGGUCUCAAGUCCAACAUUAGCCUGGAUGUUUUCUAAAACAUGUUAAAAAGAUUCUGGAAAAGACCAACAAAUGUAUAAUCUUCAGCAGUAGUCUUACAAUAAAAUCAAAAUUAAGAAACAACAAUAAAAAAUUACCCAAACCUCUU